CCUGCCCAUGGAGGCAUUGCAAGUGUGGCUGUGUCACAUGUGUGUCAGUAGGUGGCAGAGAGGAAAGAGGUUAUUUCUACACUCACUGUUCUGAUCUCAAAUCAUCUGAAUGAUUAAUAGACUAACAUU